ACACUCCUCUAUCUGCUGCAGACUGCACCAACCAUACACAGAAGAAUCUUUUUGUUGGAUACAAUUUCUUUGCUGAGCAGAAACGAAAUCCACACAGCCAACUUAAAAUGUAGAUUCUUUUAUGGGUUUCUGAGAUUUUAAUCGGUAGCUGUGUCUCUAGUGUACAUCUGUAAUAUAUGAGAAGAGAAACGGGACAUCCGCUUUCGAGGCUUAUCAAACAUUUAGUGUCCAGUCUCCCCAGGAUAAUGGCCUCUCGUGUCCUCUGACUGACUGGGUAAUGACGCGUGAGCCUCAUGCAGCAGCAAUGACAGUACAGGGCGGUCAGACGAGCACGGGCACUAUGAGCCACAUCCAAACAGAAAUGGUGAGAAAUAUGCAUCUGUACUACUGUGGGUUUAAACAUUUACUGCUUGCCAUGAAGCAGUUUUUGUUCAACAGCCUUCUUUUGAGCUAUCGAUACAUAUUCGCAAGUAGGGCUGGGUAUCGUUCACAUUAUUUUGAUACCGGUACGGAUACCAAUACUGUGACUUCGAUACCGGUUCUUAAACGAUUUUCAAUACCAAUUUUAUAACACAAAAAUAAACGACCUAAUUAUACAUUAGGGCACAAAUCUUUUUAUUUAUUUCCAGCUCCUGCUACGUGAACCUUGUGUCGUAACGUAGAGUUUUUCCUGCGUGUCUUUACCACGUGGAACGUUAGACAGCCAAUCACCAGCAUUAUUAGAUAUUGGUAGAAGCAUGAUGCAUGCUGAUUGGCUCACUGACGCUGAUGAGGAUUACUCGAUACUUUAGGGGGAAUUCAGUUGGUGCCUAAAAAAGUAUUGAAUUCGGUACCCAGCCCUAUUCAUAAGAUACUGUAUGUCGUUUGUGUGUUAGAACUGUUUCAAUUUGCUGUUAAGUAGACACAUCAAAUAAAGACCCAUAGAGUUCUCUCUUUCAUCUUUGCCCACAUUUAAUCGAAGCGUCAAAUAUUUCCUCCUGGAUUAUAAAUGUGUGUGUGCCACUGCCAGGAUUAGAGAAUAAUUAAUUUAGUGAGUGGCAAACAGUGAAUUACAACUUCCAGUUUGCAGGAAGGAGAUUGUUAUUACUGCUUAGGUUAAUCAAUGCAAUGCUUGUCUUAUUAAGUGUUCGUUUUGACAUUUCUUUAGAAAAAGAUUAUUAUCCGGCAGCCAUGGCUGACUGAUUCUCUAUCCCCAUGCAGAUUUUGAGCUGAUGUAGCAACUUCAAGACUGAAGAUAAAACGCACCAGGUUUGGCAGCUGCUCCCGUCUGUCGGCAUCCCUGUGCUGCCGCUGCUCUCUCUCCUGUUCCUGCUGCAGCCUCUGCUCCCUCUCCUUCAGCACCUUGUCUCUCUGGAGCUGCAGGG